rnacentral:rRNA from 1 species
AAAAGAUUAAUAAAUAUGGCUUAAAUAAGUGCAUAAAUUAUACUCAUCACUGGGUUUUCGGUCAAUAUACCUAACAAUUAUCCUACUAGAAAAAGUAAGAAUAAGAUUCCUGACGGAGUAAUGCCGCGUGGAGGUAGAAGGGCCACGGGUCGUGAACUUCUUUUCCCGGAGAAGAAGCAAUGACGGUAUCUGGGGAAUAAGCAUCGGCUUCUUCUAUUUCUACAUCUAGAAUUCGACUUGUAUCAUGNCGGAUAACGCUUGCAUCUUCUGUCUUACCGCGGCUGCUGGCACAGAGUUAGCUGAUGCUUAUUCCCCAGAUACCGUCAUUGCUUUUUCUCCGGGAAAAGAAGUUCACGACCUGUAGGCCUUAUACCUUCACGCAGCAUUGCUCCGUCAGGCUUUCGCCCAUUGCAGAAAAUUCCCCACUGUUGCCUUCUGUAGGAGUCUGGCCGUGUCUCAGUCCCAGUGUGGCUGAUCAUCCUCUCGGACCAGUUACUAAUCAUUGCCUUGAUAAGCUAUUGCCUCACCAACUAGCUAAUCAGACGAAAGCCCCUCCUCGGGCGGAUUCCUCCUUUUGCUCCUCAGCCUACGGGGUAUUAGCAGCCGUUUCCAGCUGCUGUUCCCCUCUCAAGGGCAGGUUCUUACACGUUACUCACCCGUCCGUAUGGCUGACCGGCGAUUACUAGCGAUUCCGGCUUCAUGCAGGCGAGUUGCAGCCUGCAAUCCGAACUGAGGACGAGUUUUUGGGGUGAGCUCACCCAUCGCCUUUGUCCCGGCCAUUGUAGCACGUGUGUCGCCCAGGGCAUAAGGGGCAUGAUGACUUGACGUCAUCCUCACCUUCCUCUGGCUUAUCACCGGCAGUCUGUUCAGGGUUCCAAACUCAACGAUGGCAACUAAACGAAACUAACAAGCUGGAGUAUGGUAGGGGCAGAGGGAAUUUCCGGUGGAGUGGUGAAAUGCGUAGAGAUCGAAAAGAACACCAACGGCGAAAGCACUCUGCUGGGCCAACACUGACACUAAGAGACGAAAGCUAGGGGAGCGAAUGGAAUUAGAUACCCCAGUAGUCCUAGCCGUAAACGAUGGAUACUAGGCGCCGUGCGUAUCGACCCGUGCAAUGUUGUAGCUAACGCGUUAAGUAUCCUGCCUGGGGAGUACGUUCGCAAGAAUGAAUCUCAAAGGAAUUGACGGGAGCCCACACAAGCAGUGGAGCGUGUGGUUUAAUUCGAUGCAAAGCGAAAAACCUUACCAGGGCUUGACUUGCCGCGAAUCCUCUUGAAAGAGAGGGGUGGCAGCCCAUCGCUCUUGUUCUCCAACUCGCAAUUCCAUAGGAAUUGAGUAAGGGUCGUACCGCUCCUUGUCCUAGCGCUCUCCAGCCCGCAUUCCUUCCUAAGGAAUGGAGUCCGGGCUUACAUUGUCAUUUGGAAGCUUUUUUAUUGCAGUUAAAUGAGAUAAAUGGACAAAUCUUUGACUAUAAAAGCAAACAGUUGCGGAUAACAUUGCUGGUUCCUAUUUAUAGAGCAGCUGGCAUACUGGUGCAGGUGACUGAUUGUUUCAUGAGAAAUUGCUAUUGUCAGUUUAUAGGUUGGGUUUGCUUCUCAUGGCCCCAAAAAAUCAUCCUUGAAAGAAGCAUGCCACAUUCAUUUUGAUAUAUUUCUUUUUCCACGAGAAUACGUCACUGUUACAAUAGGAAUAAUA